rnacentral:rRNA from 1 species
CGGUCAACGGAAUAUGUGGAAAGUGGCGGACGGGUGAGUAACGCGUGAGGAACCUACCUUUCAGAGGGGGACAACAAAUAGAAAAGCCUGCUAAUACCGCAUAACGCAUAAAGGCCGCAUUGUUGAUAUGCCAAAGAAUUAUCGCUGAAAGAAGGCCUUGCGUAUGAUUAGCUAGUUGGUGAGGUAACGGCCCACCCAGGGGACGAUCCGUAGCCGGACUGAGAGGGUGAACGGCCACAUUGGGACUGAGAAACGGCCCCGGAUCCUUCGGGAGGCAGCAGUGGGGGAAAUUGGUCAAAGGGGGGAACCCUGAAACAACAACGCCGCGUGAAGGAAGAAGGCUUUGGGGUUGGAAACUUCUUUUUAAGGGGAAAAGCAGAAGAUGGUAAAAGGGGAAUAAGCCCCGGCUAACUACGUG